UUAAGAAUCUUGCACAAUGGGGGCAACCCUGAUGCAGCGACGCCGCGUGAAUGAUGAAGGCCUUCGGGUUGUAAAGUUCAGUAAGCAGGGAAGAAUAAGCAACGGGUAAUAUUCGUUGUGAUGACGGUACCUGCCUAAAGCCCCGGCUAACUACGUGCCAGCAGCCGCGGUAAUACGUAUGGGGCAGGCGUUGUUCGGAAUUAUGGGGCGUAAAGGGCGUCUAGGCGGGGGAUUAAGUUAGAUGUGAAAGCUAUGGGCUCAACUCAGAAACUGCAGCUAAGACUGGUUCUCUUGAGUCCGGGAGAGGAGAGCGGAAUUCCAGGUGUAGCGGUGAAAUGCGUAGAUAUCUGGAAGAACACCAGUGGCGAAGGCGGCUCUCUGGCCUAGGACUGACGCUGAUGCGCGAAAGCGUGGGGAGCGAACA
rnacentral:rRNA from 1 species